AGCCACCCUCUAGCCCAACCCCCCUACCACGCCCGAAACAUCAAAAAUCAACUUAAUACUUCCAACUAAACCAUUCUAUAAACUUAGUAUAGGCGAUAGAAAAGAACUCACCUACUUUGGAGCGAUAGAGAUCUUGUACCGCAAGGGAAUGAUGAAAUAACAGUGAAAGACCGAGCACUAAACAGCAAAGAUAAGCCCUUGUACCUUUUGCAUCAUGAUUUAGCAAGAACAACCAAGCAAAACGAAUUUAAGCUUGCCCCCCCGAAACCCAAGCGAGCUACUCGCAAGCAGCUAUAUAUGAGCGAACCCGUCUCUGUUGCAAAAGAGUGGGACGACUUGCUAGUAGGAGUGAAAAGCCAAACGAGCUGGGUGAUAGCUGGUUGCCUGUGAAAUGAAUUUAAGUUCUACCCUAAUCUCUCUCCCUAGACAUUAAACAACUACCACGUAGAAAAUUAGGAGCAAUUUGAAGGAGGUACAGCUCCUUUAAAAUAGGAUACAACCUCCCCUAGCGGAUAAGACUACAAACAUACUAAACUGUGGGCCUUUAAGCAGCCAUCAACGAAGAGUGCGUCAAAGCUCUACCCUAAAAGAUUUUUAAACCACCAUGAAUCCCUCACUACUAACAGGCUAACCUAUGUCAAUAGAAGAAUUUAUGCUAAAAUAAGUAACUAGGGCUCUCUCCCUCUCAAGCGCAAACUUACAUCCCAUAAAUUAUUAACAGACCAAACUAGUAUUGCAACCACCACAAGAUUCCAUACUACACCACCUGUUAACCCAACAUUCAGGAGCGCCCAUUAGAAAGAUUUAAAUUCACAAAAGGAACUAGGCAAACCCAAGGCCCGACUGUUUACCAAAAACAUAGCCUUUAGCCAACCAAGUAUUAGAGGUGACGCCUGCCCAGUGACACACGUUUAACGGCCGCGGUAUCCUAACCGUGCGAAGGUAGCGCAAUCAAUUGUCUCAUAAAUCGGGACUUGUAUGAAUGGCUAAACGAGGUCUUAACUGUCUCUUGUGAAUAAUCAGUGAAAUUGAUCUUCCUGUACAAAAGCAGGAAUAACACCAUAAGACGAGAAGACCCUGUGGAACUUAAAAAUCAACGACCACUAUCUACAUUCUUCAACCCCCACCGGCCCAUCAAAACCGAAUGCUGGUCCGUAUUUUUUGGUUGGGGCGACCUUGGAGAAAAACAAAGCCUCCAAAAACAAGACCCUACCUCUUGACCAAGAGCAACCCCUCAACGUACUAAUAGUACCCAGACCCAGUAUAUCUGAUCAAUGAACCAAGCUACCCCAGGGAUAACAGCGCAAUCUCCUUCAAGAGCCCAUAUCGACAAGGAGGUUUACGACCUCGAUGUUGGAUCAGGACAUCCUAAUGGUGCAGCCGCUAUUAAGGGUUCGUUUGUUCAACGAUUAACAGUCCUACGUGAUCUGAGUUCAGACCGGAGCAAUCCAGGUCGGUUUCUAUCUAUGACAAACUUUCCCCAGUACGAAAGGACCGGAAAAGUGAGGCCAAUGCCCCAGGCAAGCCUCCCUAAAAGUAAUGAACACAUCUAAAUUACUACCAAGACACCAAUAACUACACCUCACUCCCUAGAAAAGGGCC
rnacentral:rRNA from 1 species